UUCUUAUACCCAUCAUUAUAAGUAAAAUCUGCUCCAUGUAUCAUGAAUAGCCGCAGAAUAUUAACUGUGCUAAGGUAGCAUAAUCAUUUACCUUUUAAUUAAAGGUCUGUAUGAAUGAUUUAACAUUUAAAUUACUUUUUUAUUAAAUUUUUUUAAAAUUAAACUAAACAUAAAAAUGUUUUUAUCCAGUAAAAAGACGACAAGACCCUAUUGAACUUUACUAAAGUUAAGCUGGGGAAGCUAAUUAAACAUAAUUUUAAUUUUUCUCAAAAUAAAAAUUUCUGAUAUAACCAAGUUGAGCAAGUUACCAUAGGGAUAACAGCGUAAUAUUUCUUUAAAGCUCUUAUUAAAAGAAAAGUUUACGACCUCGAUGUUGAAUUAGAAUUACUCUGAAACGCAAUAGUCUCCAAAAGUAGGUCUGUUCGACCUUUAAAAUUCUACA
rnacentral:rRNA from 1 species